UUUUUCGAAGAAGAUAGAUUCCCAUGGGAAAAAAAUUUAGGACCGUUAGAUUUGUUAGAUUUUGAAUGGAUGGUUGAUAAUUUUUCUUCUUUUUCUUAUUUUCUUUUCUCUUUCUCCCCUUCUUUUACCAAUUUGCCCCGGUCUAUUUCCUUUUUCCUUUUUUCUUCCCUUAUUUUGCUCAAAUCCUUCUUCCACUAUUGACAAUCCACUUCCUAUCAGAAUGAAAAAUUUGAAGAUUCAAUUGUUUUUUCUUCUCAUUGUUAAUUAAAAGAAAAAUGAGAGCAUAUAAGUCAACAAGCAUCUAAAUGGACACUCCAUUCUCAAAAAUCACCCAUGCCACGAUGAGAAACAAGAAAAAUCGGAAAAAGAGUGAACAAAUGAACGAGAAAAACAAAUGGAAUGAAGGUUCUUUGGCUUCUGUUGAAUGCGUUUUUUUUUUUUGCAGAUCUGAUAAAGGGGUGGUUUUUUUUUAUUAUUUGAGAAAGGAGGGUGGUUUGGGAUUUCUAGAUCCGUGAAAGGGAGUGUGGUGUUGUCCGUUGUCGUCGUCGGCUUGGAAAGGAGCGUAAUUGCGGUGGAGGUGUUGUCGUUGCCAUUUGCCAUCGCCGCCGUGGUGGUUGUGGAUGUAUUUUCCUCGUUGGGUUGUUGUGAUGGUGUCGCUGCCGUUGACUCUUGGUGGUGACGAUGUGGAAUGGUUGUUGUUGCUGACUGUGCUAGUCGGUGGGAACAAAGGCACAAAGUGGGAAAGGGAAGAAAAUAAGAAAAAAGAAACUUGACCUUUGAUUAAACAAAUAAUAUAUCCAAUAGUUGGUAAUAACUUUCUCACCGUGGGAAAGUUGGCAAGGUUUCCCACGCUAGACUUCGUCUCUGAACAAAACGUUUAAAU
rnacentral:lncRNA from 1 species